AAAAAGGAGUAAUUACAUGAGGGAUUACAAAGAAAAAGAGAAAGACAAAAUGGUCGGGGGUUUAACCAAGCUAACAAGGCUGGUUUAUCAAAAUGUUAUCCCUGUGGCUGCUGAUGCAUGAAAUGUUAAAAAGCACUUUCCAUUUGACAAAGGAAGGAGUGCACUGCUGAAAAAUGGCUGCAAUCGUGGCAUGCUGUAUACAGUCGAAGGCGGACCUCCGGCCAAACAUGAGCAGCGUCGUCAUGGCCCUAAAGCCGUUGCUUCUCUAGCAGCUCAAACAAUCUUGUCGGCACUGUUGAAGCAUCUGGAUUCUGGAGUGUGAGGCAUCGUCUUCUCCAGCACUGAUAUUGCACGUGACGUAAUUUUUGUGGCAGAAUCAUGAUUGGAAAAUAGUGUAUAAUUUCUCAUUCACAUCGGCAGCAUGUAUGUAUAGUUUUGCAACCGGACAAGAUGAUGAAAUUCCCCAGUGCCCAAUUCCCACAUUUCCCGAGGCUUUGUAGCACAUAACAUUUAAGUAUAUGAGUCGCGCAUGCAUCAUAUGUGCUUCUCUUCUUUCUGGAGGAGGAAAUGGAA